GGAGAGGUGGGUGAGUGGCUGAAACCAGCUCCCUGCUAAGGAGCCAUACGCAUUGCGCGUAUCGAGGGUUCGAAUCCCUCCCUCUCCGCCA
rnacentral:tRNA from 12 species